GCAAUAAUUGUCAGCAUGAUCCAACAAAAAUGCUUGGGCAAUCAAUUUGACAGCUACCUUGAAAAUAAAGAAAUAUUCAGUAUCGCCAGUGACCCCUACAACGGUGGGGGGUCCGAAGCAACUGCUUCUAUAAAUUUCUAUAUCAUUAUCAAAAUAUGCCCAAAAAUAUUAACCAAAAAAAAUAUAAAUGCUUAUCUCGCAAUCAAGCCUUCUGGGGGAACAGGCAACAAGAUGGCAAUAUGAUGAGCCUUAUUAAACUUAUUGCAGAUUCUGAGCCUGUUCUUAAAAUGUAUAUACAAGAUAAUGAAGAAAGAAGAAGAGAUUGUAUUCAACAGGUGCCCAUUCAAUUAUAGUUGAUGGCACAUAUGAUGUAUCGAAAUCAGAAGCAAUAGCUUUGAUAGUGAGAUAUGUUGAAAAUAGCGAGACACCUAAGCCCGUUGAAAGGCUGAUAGACAUUUAUUGUACGGGAAAUACAACGGGCCUCGAUAUUAAAAAGAAUAUAAUAUCCAAGCUUGGCUCCAUGAAUCUACCCCUCGAAUUCCUAUUGGGGCAAAGCUAUGAUGGCGCCUCAAACAUGAGUGGAAGAAUUAAUGGAAUGCAGGCUUUGAUUAGAGCGGAGGCGCCAAAGGCAGCUUUUAUUUGGUGCUAUUGUCAUCGAUUAAAUUUAAUAGUUGUUCAAUUAUGCCAAUCAGUAAAAGAGCUGCGAAAUGUCUUAGGAAUAUUAGACGAAAUUUACGUAUAUUUUAAUGAUGUUAAAGAUAUGAAGUGCUCAAAACAUGUCAGAGUGAUUUACUGACAAAAUCACAUAGAUUUUUACGCAUCAAGAAUACCACUCGAAGCUGGCUAACAUCAUAUAAGGCGAUUGUAAAUUUUUUCCUACUUUAUGAUGCUUUGAGGGCAGCUUUGGCAAAUUUAAAG